rnacentral:rRNA from 1 species
UUAUCUCUGUAGAGUCUGCAUAUCAAUAAGCGGAGGAAAAGAAACUAACAAGGAUUCCCUUAGUAACGGCGAGUGAAGCGGGAAGAGCUCAAAUUUGAAAUCUUCAAGGUUCUACCUUGACGAAUUGUAGUUUAAAGAAGUGUUUUCUGUUAGAUGAGUAGCAAAAGUUCCAUUGGAAUGGGACAUCAUAGAGGGUGAGAAUCCCGUAUUUGGUUAUUCAUUCUAGCUUUGUGAUACACUUUCAAAGAGUCGGAUUGUUUGGGAAUGCAGUCCAAAAUGGGUGGUAAAUUUCAUCUAAAGCUAAAUAUUGGCGAGAGACCGAUAGCGAACAAGUACCGUGAGGGAAAGAUGAAAAGAACUUUGAAAAGAGAGUUAAACAGUACGUGAAAUUGUCAAAAGGGAAGCGUUUGACACCAGUGUUGUUUUCUCGAAAAUCAAUUAAGAAUGGCUUGAUUUUGUGUUGUAUUGACCUUAUAAGCUUUCUUCACUUUUUUCAUGUCUUUUUAAUGCACUUUUCGGUUAACAAGUCAACAUCAAUUUCUUUUGUUGUAAAAGAGUCAUUCGGAAGGUGGCUUUCUUUUCGGAGAAAGUGUUUAUAGCCUUUGACUCCUGCAAUCGGAGAGACUGAGGUCUGCAGCGUAGAUCCUUCUGGAUUAGAUUCAUUUGUGCUAAGUUACAACCGUUUAUAGACAACUUGUUGACUAUAUUCGAUCCUGUAGCUUACUCGCUUAUGUAAUUUUACCUACGCUUAGGAUGUUGACUGAUAUGUAGUCGUA